rnacentral:ribozyme from 1 species
GGUUGCAAGCUUGAUGCCAUAGCAGAAGCACUCAUGGCGCUGCCUGUUAGACUCCAGCAAAUCUGUGAAUUCUGCU